CGUCCAUAUUUUUUUAAUCUAACGGUCAUAAUGAGUUACUAGUUCAUGUGCCCUUCAUUUACUUUCUCUCUUUUCUUCCACAUGUUCUCUCUCUACCUUCGAAUUCUCUCAAAGGUUAUAUUUCGCGAUUUCGAUUCUUCGCUUGUGCUCAUUAAUUUUUCAAACUCUUUGAUUUCGAUAUUCUAGUACUUCGUAUUCUUUGAUUUUGUUAUUCAUUGAGGCUUUGCAGGCGUAGGUGCUGGAGAAGGAGCGGACUUGGGUUUUUGAGGCUCACGUGCUAGAGCAGGAGCUGGAGCAAGAGCAGGCUUAGGUUUGUCAGGUUGGGCAGUUAAGGGAGGAGCAGGGGCUUGGAUGGAAGCUUGAUCUCGAUGCUCUUAAUGGAUUUGCCAGCUUUGCAACAAAAGCUUGAUCCUGAUCUUUUCAGGACUACAGCAAACCACUGUGAUUGUCAACGUGUUAUUCUUUUGAUUGAACACUUGGUCUUGUAAUUCUCUUGUCAUUAAAUCCUAAGCAUAAUGAUUGAUAUUAAUAAGCAUAAUGACACGAAGUCUGAGAGCUUUUUCCAA